ensembl:lncRNA
AUGGAAAAUAAUUGCUUUGAAAGUGAUUCCAACAUCGUUCCUCUGUAGUUAUCAUUAUACAGAAGGUGUGGAAAUGUUUUAGUUAUAUUCACUGUCCUCUGUGUGAACGGGCUUUAAAUAUCAGCAUGUAUCAGUACUGUAAAGUAUGUUUAUAUUCUGUGAUGUCUGUGCAAACAUUUUAGCAAUUUGUGUGGUAGUGUCUUUAAAUUUUAAAGCUCUUGGUCAGUAUUAUUAAUCACACAUAAUAUAAUAAUUUUGUUGUGUGUAUUUCAGUUAAUUUGAUAAUAUAUUCUAACAAUAAAGUGUUAUAUUAGUAUCAUUGAUGUACUAUUAUUGUUUUUGUUAAUAUUUUGAUUUAGAUUUUAUUUUAUUUUUUCAGUUUUCAUUUUAAAUUUUAGUUAAAGCUUCAGUAAUUUUGUUUUGUUUUUGUCAGUCUAAUAAUAAUAAUAAUUAUUAUUUUUUUUAAAUAUAUCUUUUUUUUAAGUUUUAGUUUCUGAUAUUUUAGUACUUCAAGUUGAAUUAAAUGAAAAUGAGAAAUGUUGACUUGGCUGAAAUAAAAUAAUUUAAAAAAAAUUUAAAAAUAUUUUAUUGCAGUAUUUUCAAGUAAUGAAUCUAUUUUUAUGGUUUUAGUUUUAGCUAAUGAUAAUAACCCUUGUGUUGCUUCGGUGACAGAGAUGAAGCUCAUUAUCUCUGACAAACACAUGAUUAGAUUGACCGGCAUUGCGCUGAUAUCACACACACACACACACACACACACACACACAGUCAGUAUUCGAGUGAACGCCUAUAUGAUGGCCGGAAGCCUCCAUUUCCUCCUCCUGUCACUCUGUGUUUUGUUGGAACCUGUGACAGAAAUCGGUGGUUUGCUUCUGAAACCAGUUCUGUCUGGACCCAGUGAGGCCUAUGUGAGAUCUGAAGUUCAGUUUGACUGUGCAGUUCCAGGCUGGUCUUCACCCCUGACCUUUGAACUCCGGAAGGAUGCAGGGGACCUUAUUGCAGCAGAAAACAACGUCAAAGUCACCUUCACCCUACAGGUCACCGAGGGGUCAGAGGGCGAGUACUACUGCAGACUGACCGCCGGAGGUCAAACCAGCAACUCGAUCCACUUCCAAGCAGUGAUUCCUGUCAUAGGAGCCCAAUUGAGCUCAGAUCCCGAUCCAGCGAUCAUCUAUGAAGGACAGAAGCUUGUCCUGCGCUGUCUCGUCAGGAAGGGGACGCAUCUGUCCUUCACAUGGUACCACAACACACAGGAAUUGGACUCCUCUUCAGAGCUCCACCGGCUCUCUGGAGACGCUCUCACGGUGGACGGGGCGACUGAAAUGCAUGCUGGGAUAUACUCAUGCACCGCUCAAAACCAGAUGACGGUCAACCCCAGAUUCUCCAGCAGCCGAAACCUCCUCGUCACGGUCAAAAAGCACAUCUCUGUGCCCUCGUUAUCGUUUACGGUCUUCUCUAACGGCUCCGGCCUAACAGCCAACAUCAGCUGCCGUUCUGAGCGCGGAUCUGCGCCCGUGACGUUCAGACUGAUGUUGGACGGACUGGAGCUGGAUGUGAAGCGAGAGGAUUCACUGGAGUCCUGGUUCGUUCUGCCGGUCUCUGUGGGUCUGGAUCUGGGAGUCACUCAAUGUGAAGCACAAACAGAAACACACCAGCUGCUGUCGGAUCCCGUGCGUUUACUCGUAGUUUCAGUAGGUGGCGCUGUGCGUGUCACAGUAACGUACCUCUACGACGCCGACGGGACGGUGGCAGCCGCUCGGCUCAAAUGCGUCCCAGACAGAGGAACGUUUCCCACAUUCUCCUGGUGUCUGAACCGUUCCUCCCUUCCAGCAGAGGGCGCUGCUCAUGCGGUCACUCAUCACGGUCAGAUCUUGAUCCUCACAGAAGUCAGUGCUGGGUUUUACGGCUGCAGGGUGAGGGACAGUUUUAACGACAGCUCAGUCUGGGUGUUGAGCGAGGACAUCUUUAUUCAGAAGACAGAUUUGGCAGCGACGCCCAUAGAGGUGAUUGCGUUGGUCUUCUGUGGUUUUCUGUCGAUUGUGAUUGUGUUAUGCUCAUUCUUUAUGUUCUGGAGCACCAAGAACAGAAACAACACCUGCAAACAUCACAGUAACCAGGACGUGAUCCAGUCUGAGAUGAUAACAAUGGACGUUCCUGUAGCUGAUGUUUCCUCUGAACCCCAACCUGUGGAAAUGAAAACCGUCAUCAGGGAGUUUGAGGCCUAGAGGUCUAGACCAGACCAGACCUGGAGCCAGUGUCCUGCAGAGAGUCUACUAAUCCUAAACACUUUGAUUAGCUGGUUCAGGUGUGUUUAAUUAAGGUUAAAGAUGAACUCUGACUGGACAUCAAUCACUACUGUUUUCUAUCAAUGAGAUUGUAAGGCUUGUAUAUACCAAAUAAAUGUUUAAUUUACCAAAUGCUUUUACUGAAU